rnacentral:lncRNA from 1 species
CAAUUCUCACCAACCCCAACCACAAAGAAAGGUGGGGAAGGGGGGGCGGACAUGCUGUAACCAGCGGCUUCUGCUGCCCCCACCACUAGCCCGUAAGCCACACUCCCACCGGAUUAGUGCCCUUUAGCACUACAUUUUCAACCAAGUUUUACAAUUUGAGGUUGUUACACCAAUUUAAGAAAUGCAAGAAUUUAUAUUGCCAUUAAUACCACAAUCAGAUUAUGAUUCGUAGGUAUGCAUACUCUAUCGGGUCUCUGAUUAACAUAAUGACAAGAAACUUGAGCAAUAUUAAGGCAUCGGGUCAUAAUUACCAUUAUAGGGUUCCACCCGACUUUCCAUAACCAGUAGUGACAGAGAAGUGUGAAAUUCUCUUCUAGAGUAGAUGGUAAGCACCACAAAAUCAUCUUAUAUUUAGCCACCAAUUGUGAAGACAUUUGUGUGUGUAUAUAUGGCAUUCAUGAACAGGGCAUCAAAAUCACAAAACCAGGGUAGAAAUAGAAAAUCAGUAAGUUCAGCACUACAACUCUUUUACGUGCCCCCACCACUAGCCCGUAAGCCACACUCCCACCGGAUUAGUGCCCUUUAGCACUACAUUUUCAACCAAGUUUUACAAUUUGAGGUUGUUACACCAAUUUAAGAAAUGCAAGAAUUUAUAUUGCCAUUAAUACCACAAUCAGAUUAUGAUUCGUAGGUAUGCAUACUCUAUCGGGUCUCUGAUUAACAUAAUGACAAGAAACUUGAGCAAUAUUAAGGCAUCGGGUCAUAAUUACCAUUAUAGGGUUCCACCCGACUUUCCAUAACCAGUAGUGACAGAGAAGUGUGAA